UGCAUCUCCGGGAAUCGAACCCGUGCUGCCCGCGUGGCAGGCGAGCAUUCUACCACUGAGCCAC
rnacentral:tRNA from 1 species